CAAGCAGAAAAUUAUCUCUAGCACAAUCAGAUGAAGAAGAACCAAUAAGUCACACUUCUGGACCUGCUAAGGAAGACCAAGUCUUCUAGGAAACGUAAAUGGAAACAAUAGGAGCCAAAUACAGCAGGUCACGUGGCCAUGGUUACUUGUCGAAUCCAAAAUGAAAGCAGGCAGCCCUUGAGGAGAGAAUGGUUCAGGAGAGAAUAGAGAGGCUUGAAGAACAAGAACGACAGCACAUACAUCGUUGCGAUACCUUGU
rnacentral:lncRNA from 1 species